GCCGAUGUGGUGAAAUUGGUAGACGCGCCACCUUGAGGGGGUGGUGGGGAGACCCGUGCCAGUUCGAGUCUGGCCAUCGGCACCA
rnacentral:tRNA from 1 species